rnacentral:rRNA from 1 species
CGCUAGCUACAGGCUUAACACAUGCAAGUCGAGGGGCAUCAGGAAGAAAGCUUGCUUUCUUUGCUGGCGACCGGCGCACGGGUGAGUAACACGUAUCCAACCUGCCCUUUACUCGGGGAUAGCCUUUCGGAAGAAAGAUUAAUACCCGAUGGCAUAAUGAUUCCGCAUGGUUUCAUUAUUAAAGGAUUCCGGUAAAGGAUGGGGAUGCGUUCCAUUAGGUUGUUGGUGAGGUAACGGCUCACCAAGCCUUCGAUGGAUAGGGGUUCUGAGAGGAAGGUCCCCCACAUUGGAACUGAGACACGGUCCAAACUCCUACGGGAGGCAGCAGUGAGGAAUAUUGGUCAAUGGGCGCUAGCCUGAACCAGCCAAGUAGCGUGAAGGAUGAAGGCUCUAUGGGUCGUAAACUUCUUUUAUAUAAGAAUAAAGUGCAGUAUGUAUACUGUUUUGUAUGUAUUAUAUGAAUAAGGAUCGGCUAACUCCGUGCCAGCAGCCGCGGUAAUACGGAGGAUCCGAGCGUUAUCCGGAUUUAUUGGGUUUAAAGGGAGCGUAGGUGGACUGGUAAGUCAGUUGUGAAAGUUUGCGGCUCAACCGUAAAAUUGCAGUUGAUACUGUCAGUCUUGAGUACAGUAGAGGUGGGCGGAAUUCGUGGUGUAGCGGUGAAAUGCUUAGAUAUCACGAAGAACUCCGAUUGCGAAGGCAGCUCACUGGACUGCAACUGACACUGAUGCUCGAAAGUGUGGGUAUCAAACAGGAUUAGAUACCCUGGUAGUCCACACAGUAAACGAUGAAUACUCGCUGUUUGCGAUAUACAGUAAGCGGCCAAGCGAAAGCAUUAAGUAUUCCACCUGGGGAGUACGCCGGCAACGGUGAAACUCAAAGGAAUUGACGGGGGCCCGCACAAGCGGAGGAACAUGUGGUUUAAUUCGAUGAUACGCGAGGAACCUUACCCGGGCUUAAAUUGCAGUGGAAUGAUGUGGAAACAUGUCAGUGAGCAAUCACCGCUGUGAAGGUGCUGCAUGGUUGUCGUCAGCUCGUGCCGUGAGGUGUCGGCUUAAGUGCCAUAACGAGCGCAACCCUUAUCUUUAGUUACUAACAGGUUAUGCUGAGGACUCUAGAGAGACUGCCGUCGUAAGAUGUGAGGAAGGUGGGGAUGACGUCAAAUCAGCACGGCCCUUACGUCCGGGGCUACACACGUGUUACAAUGGGGGGUACAGAAGGCAGCUAGCGGGUGACCGUAUGCUAAUCCCAAAAGCCUCUCUCAGUUCGGAUCGAAGUCUGCAACCCGACUUCGUGAAGCUGGAUUCGCUAGUAAUCGCGCAUCAGCCACGGCGCGGUGAAUACGUUCCCGGGCCUUGUACACACCGCCCGUCAAGCCAUGGGAGCCGGGGGUACCUGAAGUACGUAACCGCAAGGAUCGUCCUAGGGUAAAACUGGUGACUGG